GAUGAAGAACGCAGCGAAAUGCGAUAAGUAAUGUGAAUUGCAGAAUUCAGUGAAUCAUCGAAUCUUUGAACGCACCUUGCGCUCCUUGGUAUUCCGAGGAGCAUGCCUGUUUGAGUGUCAUUAAUAUAUCAACCUUCUCUUUUUUGAGUUGUUUGGAUGUGGGGGUUUGCUGGCCUCUUAAAUGAUUCAGCUCCCCUGAAAUGCAUUAGCAGAACAACCUGUUCAUUAGCGCGAUAAUUAUCUAUGCUAUUGAAUGUGAGGGCAGUUCAGCUUUCUAACCGUCCUUGGACAAUUCAUCAUUAAUGUGACCUCAAAUCAGGUAGGACUACCCGCUGAACUUAAGCAUAUCAAUAAGCGGUGGA
rnacentral:misc_RNA from 1 species